GACAGAGGAUGCAAGCGUUAUCCGGAAUGAUUGGGCGUAAAGCGUCUGUAGGUGGCUUUUUAAGUCCGCCGUCAAAUCCCAGGGCUCAACCCUGGACAGGCGGUGGAAACUACCAAGCUGGAGUACGGUAGGGGCAGAGGGAAUUUCCGGUGGAGCGGUGAAAUGCGUAGAGAUCCGGAAGAACACCGGUGGCGAAGGCGGUCUGCUGGGCCAAGACUGACGCUGAGGCGCGACAGCGUGGGGAGCAAACAGG
rnacentral:rRNA from 1 species